CGCUCGCCCCUGCGGACGCAGCCUGGAGGAGUGUGUGUGGGGGUGUCUGCGCGGGGGUCUGGAUGUGUCCAGCAGCGGCACGGCAGCCUGAUGCCUCCUCUCGUCUGGGACGCGGGUUCCUUGGCAGCUCUUCUGGGAUGCGGGGCCCUUGGGUAGUCCACCGAAGGGGGACAUCUCGAAGAGAAGCAGCGAGACCUGGGGAUCCGGUUGUUCGUUUUGGUCGUCGCCUGUGAGGCCAGCAUCCGAGCGUAAGAGGAAUCUAGGCGCUGUCUCGAGAAGAGAUGGCACCAAGGACAGCAAAUGCUGACAAAGAGAAGAGACGGACAAGCAUUUUCUUGUGAUUAAUACCGAAGGGACGGGAUGAGACAAGGAAGCCAAAAUGCAGUGGACCCUCGAUAUCACCAGGAACUGCUACAGGAGGCGGCGUUCUGGCACGGGUAACUAAGGGCGAUGGAUUUUACUCUGCCUCCAUCAACAGGCGCUGGCUGGCAAAGUCGUCGUGUCCCAGCGGAGACUCUUAGGCAGGACGGGAGGAGUUCGGAUCCGCAGCCUGCCAGAAGAGCGUCGCCUGGGAGGGGUCGCUAGCCUUGAGCUACAGGCACUGGUGUUCGGAACCUCAGGCAACAACUAUAUGCUGCCGCGAAAAGCUACCGGUUACCACUGCCGUCAGACGGGAUUUUUGCUGUCGCAAGUUACGGUUCCUUUUAGGAGCCAGCUACAAAAGUAACUUUGCUAUAGCAGAGAAAUGGGGUUACGUGUGUACGAGCAACAGCGCCAGAGUACACAGCAAAACCACAACCUACCAUAACCCAUCAGCUCCGUCUCUCUGGAGUCUGGAGUUUUUGGAGGCCUCAGUUUUUAUCCUGCCUUGGCUGGACAGUGCUUUCUGAGAGUGUCCGUCAGAGGCAGUUUCCCUGCAGAGGACCAUCUAGCGAAGGCUGGAGGUGGCCGGGUGCCUGAGCGAGCCUGCCUGUGCGUGAGAGCCGCUCUGACAUCUUUGCGAUGAAGCAGUGCCAGAGAGGGUGACUGAAGCAGCACGGGAGGGUGCCGAAGCCCAGUCGGGCAGUCGAAGGAGCCUCGUCGCAGCUGGGAGCUCUGCGGAGAUGCGCGGCCGGCUGUGGAGGAUGAGCUCUGACUUGCGGCGUGGACACGGCUAAGUCCUGGGCUGCAUCGUACGCGAGUGGGGCUGGGAGGUGCGAGGCGUUCGUCCCCUAGCCGUGGUCACUGGCGCCGCUGGCUGUGGCCGUUUGCCCACGGAGCUGAGAGGACCAAACAUACUGAUUGCCUGACCCAGAGAUGAAUUAGUGCUUGCAGGCUUUCAGGUAGGUUCAGUGCAAGUGCAGCUUAGAGCAGUCCCGUGGAGUGACGCUUGCACAUGCUCACAUUUGAAUGGUGGCUAAAACCAAGCCUCUAAACAGCAACUGUAACGCAAUUCUGGUGCUUGUCUUCCUGUUCUGCUGUACUUCUAAAGGAAGGGAAAACUUCCUAAGCUGCGGGCAAAACUCUUUGGCUUCUCUUGACUGUUUCCAUGCUCUGGAAACAGCUUUGGGUGCUUUGGUGCUUGUUGCUUAAAGCUGAGGGUUUGGAAUUUUUCACUUAAGGUUGAUUGUUUAGCUUGCUGCUGAGGGUCUCUCACCCAGGAGUUACGGGUUAUUCCUUUCUUUUGUGGGGCUCACUCUUUAUCAGUCAGGGUUUACAGUUUGCUCAUGUAGCAAUCGGGGCGCAGAAUUUAAAAUCCAACCCCAUCCCUUGUCCCGAUCCAAUAUCGGGGGGGUUUCGUUACGAUCCCAAGGACGAGAUUAAGACGCUAAAACCGGUCAAAUAUCGUACAACCGUUUAACAUUAUUUUCCACAAAGUGGGGAGAAAAGGUGGGGAAAGGCGAAGGAGAGGCGAAGGGAAGAGGGGAACAAGGGUAAGGGGAAAAGAUAGAGAAAGCUGGAAAAGGAGAGAAAGAGCUGGCUACCACCAGUCCAAGUCCAAUGAUGUUCUGCUGACUCUGUUCGAAUUACAGCUCAGGCUGGGUGCCUCCAAAGAGGGACCCCGAACAAAGAAAUCCCUGGGCAAUGAUACUUUCCAAUCUAAGCUCUCCACCCUUCACACAGUAGUUUGGACCAAUAGUAAUAUUUAGGUCUGGGGUCUCCUGCUCCCUAUUGCGUCCCUCGGUAGGUUGUUUACUGUUGCGGUUUCUGCUGGUGGAUGUGUCUUCAUUCUUCGGGUCCUGCCCUUGUCUCUCAAGGCCCUGACAAAUCAGUACUGCCCCAGCAGUGAUAGUAGGUGUUAUCUCCCAAGGUCCAGACAAAGGGAAUAUGAUCUGGACCCCGAGAUAGUCCAGACCCCCCCCUAAUCAGCACUGUUUCAGCAGCGAGAGGAGCCCCAUCAUCCAACUACGAUGGCAGUUCUUUGACCAUUUGCUUGUCCAGCCACUCAGACCAUAGAGGCCUCGUUUGUGUGCAAGUAUACUGUGGGAGAAAGUGUCAAAAGCCUUCUGAAAGUUGAGGUAACUGACAUUCACUGCUCUCUGUUUGUCCAUAAAUAGAGUUCUUUUAACAUAGAAAGCCAUCACGUUGGUGAGGCAUGAUUUCCCCUCAGGAAAUCUGUGCUGACUCUUCCCAGGCACCUCAUU